rnacentral:rRNA from 1 species
UAGGUGGCAAGAGAUGAGCCUGCGUUUGAUUAGUUAGUUGGUGAGGUAACGGCUCUACCAAGACGAUAAUCAGUAGGGGGCCUUAGAGGGUUUUCCUCCACACUGGAACUGAGACACGGACCAAACUUCUACGGGAGGCAGCAGUGAGGAAUAUUGGUCAAUGGAGGAAACUCUGAACCAGCUAUACCGCGUGUAGGAUGACAGCCUUUUUGGUUGUAAACUACUUUUGUAUAGAAAUAAAAAUUUCUACGUGAUAGUAAUCUGAAGGUACUAUACGAAUAAGUGUCAGCUAAUUUCGUGCCAGCAGCUGCGGUAAUACGUAAGACACAAGCGUUGUCCGGAUUUAUUGGGUUUAAAGGGUGUGUAGGCUGUUUAUUAAGUCAGUAGUGAAAGCUUACAGCUUAACUGUAAAAUGGCUAUUGAUACUGGUAAACUUGAGUAAGAUUGGAGUAUCUGGAAUGUAUGGUGUAGCGGUGAAAUGCAUAGAUAUCAUACAGAACACCAAUAGCGAAGGCAGGAUACUAAAUCUUUAUUGACGCUGAGGCACGAAAGCGUGGGUAGCAAACAGGAUUAGAUACCCUGGUAGUCCACGCCCUAAACGAUGAUCACUAGCUAUUGGAAAAACUAUAUUCAGUGGCUAAGCGAAAGCGAUAAGUGAUCCACCUGGGGAAUAUAAUCGCAAGAUUGAAACUCAAAGGAAUUGACGGGGUUUCGCACAAGCGGUGGAGCAUGUGGUUUAAUUCGAUGAUACGCGAGGAACCUUACCAAGGCUUAAAUGUAUUACGAAUAAGCUGGAAACAGCUUAGUCUACAAGACGGAAUACAAGGUGCUGCAUGGUUGUCUUCAGUUCGUGCUGUGAAGUGUUUGGUUAAGUCCUAUAACGAGCGCAACCCUUAUUGUUAGUUGCCAUCAGAUAAUGCUGGGGACUCUAACAAAACUGCCAGUGUAAACUGCGAGGAAGGCGAGGAUAAUGUCAA